GGCCUGAUGGUCUAGUCGUAUGAUUCCUGCUUUGGGUCUAACAACUCACACUGCAGGAGGCCCCGGGUUCAAAUCCCGGUCAGGCCC